rnacentral:tRNA from 1 species
GCCUUCGUGGUGUAAUAGUACCACACUCGGAACAUAUUCGAGAGGUCGGAGGUUCGACUCCCGGCGAGGGCG